GGGGAGAUUCAUCGUCAGCUCAUUUUGUAUAUAUAUGAGGUAUGAUAUGGGUUACUACUUGUAGUAUUGCCUGUACGUUCUUGUAUAUUUUAUUGCAAGAUGUUGUCGGCGUGCACUUCUCCCCUAGUAGGACGUCGCGACCCGUUGAGUGUCGGUCUACGGCCCAAGUGGUAGCCUUUGAUUUUUUAUUAAAUUGAAGACCCUUGGUGUUUCCUGACUGGCUACUCGGCGGUAUUCGUACGGUAUUAAGCCGCAUUUAUGCGUUCAUACCCGUCGCAAGCGAGGUCAAUUUUUGGCAGUACGGACCUAGUGCCGUCGCUAUAAUUGAUCAGCUGUUGGCUGUACGGUGUUCUAGAACU
rnacentral:rRNA from 1 species